UACAGCGGUCUCAAGCGUUGUUCGGAUUCAUUGGGCGUAAAGGGUGCGUAGGCGGCGCGGUAAGUCGGGUGUGAAAUCCCUCGGCCCAACCGGGGAACUGCGCCCGAAACUACUUUGCUUGAGGACGGAAGGGGAGUGUGGAAUUCCCAGUGUAGUGGUGAAAUGCGUAGAUAUCUGGAGGAACACCGGUGGCGAAGACGGCAUCCUGGGCCAACACUGGCGCUGAGUGAGCGAAAGCCAGGGGAGCAAACGGG
rnacentral:rRNA from 1 species